rnacentral:rRNA from 1 species
AGCCGAGCGGUAGAGUCUCUUCGGAGACUUGAGAGCGGCGCACGGGUGCGGAACACGUGUGCAACCUGCCUUUAUCUGGGGGAUAGCCUUUCGAAAGGAAGAUUAAUACCCCAUAAUAUACUGGAUGGCAUCAUCUGGUAUUGAAAACUCCGGUGGAUAGAGAUGGGCACGCGCAAGAUUAGAUAGUUGGUGAGGUAACGGCUCACCAAGUCAGCGAUCUUUAGGGGGCCUGAGAGGGUGAUCCCCCACACUGGUACUGAGACACGGACCAGACUCCUACGGGAGGCAGCAGUGAGGAAUAUUGGACAAUGGGUGAGAGCCUGAUCCAGCCAUCCCGCGUGAAGGACGACGGCCCUAUGGGUUGUAAACUUCUUUUGUAUAGGGAUAAACCUAGAUACGUGUAUCUAGCUGAAGGUACUAUACGAAUAAGCACCGGCUAACUCCGUGCCAGCAGCCGCGGUAAUACGGAGGGUGCAAGCGUUAUCCGGAUUUAUUGGGUUUAAAGGGUCCGUAGGCGGAUCUGUAAGUCAGUGGUGAAAUCUCACAGCUUAACUGUGAAACUGCCAUUGAUACUGCAGGUCUUGAGUGUUGUUGAAGUAGCUGGAAUAAGUAGUGUAGCGGUGAAAUGCAUAGAUAUUACUUAGAACACCAAUUGCGAAGGCAGGUUACUAAGCAACAACUGACGCUGAU